UUGGGGCUCAUGCCCCUUCCCUCCUCAGGUGGGGGCUGCCGGCCCUGAUUCUAAAGGGCUGUGCCUGAGGUCUCUGGGGGGCAGCUCGUGUGAGCGGUGCAGCGUGGGGAAGUGGGGGAGGGUAAAAUGAGAUGCCCUUUAGUCUCGGCGACUCGGAAGGAAGGAAGAAGAGCAUAGAGAUGCUUCUGGAGGGUGGCACCCACUGGGAAGGCACAGACAAUUUGGAGCAUGCAGACAGGCUGUUUGAUGUUUGGUUUGCCACAUAAAAAAAUAAGGCACUCACUUUUGGAAAGUGCUAGAAAAUCAAGCCAAAACGGGAAAACUGGAAACCAAAUUUAUAUCCCUAACAAAUGAUAUUGAAGCUGCUGGUUAUUCUGUCCAUGUUUUUAUUUAAUUCAGAAAGUACAGCCGAGAAGUUAAUAAAUGAUUUUCAAGAGGGGUGAUAAAAGAUAAAUGCCAAGGGUUUGCAGCACAGGACCAGGUGACUGUGGGGGUGGGGUGGUCUAGAACAUUCCAUGGAAAGACUUCACGUUCAUCACCAGGGUGCCAGGGACAAGGCAGCGUGACACACAGAGCCACCUGCCAAUGGAGAGUUUACCAAGUUUAGCAGGCCCCCUGCCUCAGGGAGGUGGCUUUGGCAACAUCGGAAGGACAAAUCAAAGGUGCCGACAUCCCAGGGAGAGGAAAUCUGGCUGUGGGCGGGGUGCCUGGCUGCAAGGACAGUCACAGACCGUGAAUUCCUGCCCUUGUGGGGGUCAAGACACAUGGCUGCAGAGCAAGUGCGCCCUUCCACAAAAAUUCCCAGUGCUCUUGGGGAAAGGAGACCCAAUGUUGUGUGGGAAGCAGAAAGCAGAAGUGGAAGGAAAGGUGACAAAUUAGUGUUGAAAAGGGCACCUGCUUCCGUUUCUCCUGUAGGAGGCCCCUCUGGCCAGCGCCCCUCCUGUUCCCUGAAUACUCAGGGAUGCAAGCCCCAGAGGCAAGGGUCCUUUGCAAGUGGGAGUACUGUGGGCCAAGGACUGUUGCAUGCCAAAGAAAAACGAAAUUUGCUAGCCGAAUAUUUUUUAGACAUUUUGCAAGAUGCACGGCCUCCCUGACAAUUUUUAAUGUACUAACUGCCUGGUCCAGUGAGCUGAUUAAUUGGUGCUGGAGAGAUCAAUAAAAAACAGAAAAUUAAAACAAUUUUAAAGUGAUUAAGUAGUUUAACACCUGUCUCCCGUCACGUCAGCGCAGGAAGAAAAAUAAAGCAGGUGUCGAAGGGGCCUCCUGAAGCAAGAGAAAACAGCGCCUGCCUCGGAGAAAUGACAAAUCACAGCUGGCGGAUCAAUCUGAGUGCAGGCAGCCCUUCCCCAAGCCCACCUCGGCGGCAGGAACCAGAGACCCCCAGGAGGCUGGCACCUCCCCUGGUGGCUCCUUCAGCGCCACUUCUCAGCUAGGGAGGAACAAGUCUGUCCAGACCCUGAAAACAGGGCAGGAGGGAGUGAGGGAAGCUGAGGAACAUCUUGGCCUAGAACUCUGGACGGGAUGAGGUGAGAAGGCACCAGCUAACCUUCUCCUGACCUCCCUUCCAGCCAGUCAGAGCUGAGUCUGUGCUAUGUGGAGGGGUUCAAAGGCAACGAAAAUGCAUUUGGAGAGCUGUGGGGUCAAGACAGGGAAACGCACAGUCAAAGCUCUCUAGGAUUAGCUUCAGGGCUCCACCCUUACUCCCUCCAACCUCCACCUUCCCCUGGCCAUAUCUACAGGUGUGCAGAUACCUGCUCUGAUGGCUCAAAUGUCCCUUGUAACUCCUCCGUGCCAGCCUCACUCUCUUUGCCCCCGUCAGCAGCUUCAAUGGAAGCUGAGUCACUCCUAUCCCAUAGUUUACUGUAUUUGACUCCGAAUCACCAGAAAUAAAUUCACGGAGCUCAAGAAACCCUAAGAUGGUUCUUCUCCAACUUCCCCACCAAAGUCCUAACAGCGGAGUAGAAAGAACGUGGACAGGAAAGUGAGGGGGAAUUCACAAGUGGAGAGCUUCCUGUUCGCCUUCAAGGUUCCCUUGAAGCUUUCCCCACCAAGACCAGGAUGGAAAAGGAACUCGAAGCAACAAGAGAAACCUUGCAGCGCGUUCAAAACAUUAAGUUUUAAACAUGUUUAAGAGUGUGAUCUAAACAUUAAGUAACAUAAAAUGUUUAAGAACAUCAAAGCCCUCAGCUGAACUUCUUACUAGCAAUUCCCACUUUGUAAGCCUCCCUAUUAACACCUGUCACACUAAAUAGGAAUGGAAAAGGAGUCACAGCAGUUAGAGGCCAGGGUCAAGGCGUUCCAACUGUGAGUUUUAAAGUGUUUUACUAGCCAGAUUUUCCUCCUUUCCCCUACUUCCUUUUGGGCUGGGAGCUCUGCUUCUGUAUUCAGUGUUUGGGCCUCUCUGUACACAACAAUCCGUUUGGGGCCUCUCUGUACACAACAAUCCGUUUGGAGCCGUCUUAGUCUCGAAGAAAACUUGUCAAACGCCAUACAGCAAAUUUUAUGCCAAUGACAAGUCCACACAAAGAGAUUUUCAGUUGCUUCGGCUAUUGGCCCGCUUUUAAAAAUCAUCCAUACAGCCAAGAUCUCCACAAGAUAUAAACUAUCUCUCGGCACUUCCUGCCACACGCUGUGACUCUGGAGACCGGGCCGGGGAUGGAAGCGAACAGUCCCCACCAUCCAACUCUUCUCACAGAUCCCAGAUGCCCGCUUGCCAAGGGUGCCCCCUCCGGGUGUGGCUCUCAGCCGGAAGGGCCGAGUGCAGGGCUGGCCUGCGACACCGCCCAGGCUCGGUGCUACCCACAAUGCCAGUGAAGGGCCCAGCCCAGGUACCUCACUGCUCUCGGAAGCAAGCACAAAGUUCUUGACGCGGCGCCCUCGGGCCUGCGGCUGCUCCCUGUAGAGUAAGGAUCAGACUGACGAAGAUAAAGUUUCCCCGGGCCCAAGUUCCAAACUCGGCUGUUUUGUUUCUGUUAAAAUGCAAUUGUUUUUCUCUGGAGUGUGCGGUGACUGCUCGGCGUCAGGAAGAUGUAUGAAAACCUCCACUUCAAUUCAGCAUCCCUUUUCUCCCAGACAAACACGGUCGGAUUUUAAUAAAUCAAAGAGCCACACUGUUUAAUAAAAAUUUAUUGACUUACAAGUGAUUAUUUAUCAAAAGACCAUUAAUAGCAGGUGCUGAAAUGAUGUGUUACUGGGUGGUGCUGGGGAGACUAAUAGGAAAUCAAUGCAGCUGGCCGGCCAGAAUGCAUAUGAGAAGCCCACCCCCCCAUCGGCUAGCGCAAUUUCACCGGCAAAAUACACCAGACGCUACCCCUGGUGCAAUGAAAAGUUCCCCCUUUUUAUUUAUCGUUUACAAAUGAAAUGAUCAAUACUUUUAAUCUAGAGCAAAAUUUAUUAACUUUCCCAUCGGAGAGAGACAUAUUGACUGGGGGGGAGAGGAGGUGUUAGUGCAGUGGAAGAUGGAUGGCUGGAUGGUCGUCUCUUAGCCUGUCCAAGAGCCAGUGUGCAUGCAGCUGCCCUUCCAGCCCACAGGUCCCAGGCCACACGGGGCAAAUGCGACUGGAGAAAUCGAGUCUGGCCACCGAAGAGGCACAGCGGGCAGGCAUGACCUGUGACACAGUGGACUCGUUCACAUGUCACGGAUGUGGGAAGCACCUGUCCCACAGACCACUGAGUUUCUGUGGUCAGUUUCGGGGAGGAACAGCAGGGUCUGCAGACCCAGAACACUUCUGCAGCACAGCAGGGUGAGAUGCUGCUGUGAAGGGCUGGCACAGGAUGGUGCCCGAGGACUGGUCGCUGGGCUGGGCUGGGCAUUCAGGGCUCUGUGGAGCGCUCCCUGCUGCCUCACAGCCAGCCUUUUUUAAUCUCUGAAGCGCUGCAAUAGCGAGGGGUGGGGAGCUGACACAGUGAAGAACCAAGUUCCGAAAAGUUGGUUCUAUCGUCCACGAGGUUGCCAUCCCAAACCGCCCCAUCAAGCUGAGCUUGCUAUCUCCGGCGUGGCUGGCAGCCUUCUCCUGAGCUUCCUCUGACAGAGGAAUUUUACUUGCCUGUUUUGAAAACUCCUUCUCUAACUAGCCGGGCGAGGGGGCGGGGGGAUCUCAUAUUUGAGUGAAAACAGCUGAUCUCCACAUUCAAACCUGCCCGGCCUCACUUCACCCGGACACCAGUGCCCCUCUGAUGGAGUCAAGUUUCACCAGCUCUGAUGUUUUGGAGAAAUCAAGUGGAUACAAACAGACAUAUUUCUGAAUUAGAUGGCUUUAGAACUUAGAGCUAAAGUUUGAGCCAUGGG